rnacentral:rRNA from 1 species
GGGUGGUAAUGCCGGAUGCUCCAGUUGGAUGCAUGUCCUUCUGGGAAAGAUUCAUCGGUAUGGGAUGGGGUCGCGUCCUAUCAGCUUGAUGGCGGGGUAACGGCCCACCAUGGCUUCGACGGGUAGCCGGCCUGAGAGGGCGACCGGCCACAUUGGGACUGAGAUACGGCCCAGACUCCUACGGGAGGCAGCAGUGGGGAAUAUUGCACAAUGGGCGCAAGCCUGAUGCAGCGACGCCGCGUGCGGGAUGACGGCCUUCGGGUUGUAAACCGCUUUUGACUGGGAGCAAGCCCUUCGGGGUGAGUGUACCUUUCGAAUAAGCACCGGCUAACUACGUGCCAGCAGCCGCGGUAAUACGUAGGGUGCAAGCGUUAUCCGGAAUUAUUGGGCGUAAAGGGCUCGUAGGCGGUUCGUCGCGUCCGGUGUGAAAGUCCAUCGCUUAACGGUGGAUCCGCGCCGGGUACGGGCGGGCUUGAGUGCGGUAGGGGAGACUGGAAUUCCCGGUGUAACGGUGGAAUGUGUAGAUAUCGAACA